UACGGAGGGUGCAAGCGUUAUCCGGAAUUAUUGGGCGUAAAGAGCGCGCAGGUGGUUGAUUAAGUCUAAUGUGAAAGCCCACGGCUUAACCGUGGAGGGUCAUUGGAAACUGGUCGACUUGAGUGCAGAAGAGGGAAGUGGAAUUCCAUGUGUAGCGGUGAAAUGCGUAGAGAUAUGGAGGAACACCAGUGGCGAAGGCGGCUUCCUGGUCUGUAACUGACACUGAGGCGCGAAAGCGUGGGGAGCAAACAGGAUUAGAUACCCCGGUAGU
rnacentral:rRNA from 1 species